rnacentral:rRNA from 1 species
UCGACCGCCUGGGGAGUACGGCCGCAAGGUUAAAACUCAAAUGAAUUGACGGGGGCCCGCACAAGCGGUGGAGCAUGUGGUUUAAUUCGAUGCAACGCGAAGAACCUUACCUGGUCUUGACAUCCACAGAACUUUCCAGAGAUGAGAUUGUGCCUUCGGGAACUGUGAGACAGGUGCUGCAUGGCUGUCGUCAGCUCGUGUUGUGAAAUGUUGGGUUAAGUCCCGCAACGAGCGCAACCCUUAUCCUUUGUUGCCAGCGGUCCGGCCGGGAACUCAAAGGAGACUGCCAGUGAUAAACUGGAGGAAGGUGGGGAUGACGUCAAGUCAUCAUGGCCCUUACGACCAGGGCUACACACGUGCUACAAUGGCGCAUACAAAGAGAAGCGACCUCGCGAGAGCAAGCGGACCUCAUAAAGUGCGUCGUAGUCCGGAUUGGAGUCUGCAACUCGACUCCAUGAAGUCGGAAUCGCUAGUAAUCGUGGAUCAGAAUGCCACGGUGAAUACGUUCCCGGGCCUUGUACACACCGCCCGUCACACCAUGGGAGUGGGUUGCAAAAGAAGUAGGUAGCUUAACCUUCGGGAGGGCGCUUACCACUUUGUGAUUCAUGACUGGGGUGAAGUCGUAACAAGGUAACCGUAGGGGAACCUGCGGUUGGAUCACCUCCUUACCUUAAAGAAGC